GACGAACGCUGGCGGCGUGCUUAACACAUGCAAGUCGUACGGAAAGGCCCUGCUUUUGUGGGGUGCUCGAGUGGCGAACGGGUGAGUAACCCGUGAGUAACCUGCCCUUGACUUUGGGAUAACUUCAGGCAACUGGGGCUAAUACCUGCUAGGAGCUCCUGCUGCAUGGUGGGGGUUGGACAGUUUCGGCGGAUGGGGCUGGACUCCCGGCUGAUCAGCUGGUUGGUUGGGGAGUUGCUUACCAAGGCUUUGACGGGUGGCCGGCCUGGGAGGGUGGCCAGCGACCUUGGUACUGAGAGAGGGCGCAGACUCGUACGGGAGGCAGCAGGGGGGAAUAUUGCACAGUGGGCGGAAGCCUGAUGCAGCAACGCCGCGUGCGUGAUGAAGGCCUUGUGGUUGUAAACCGCUGUCGCCUGUGACGAAGCGGGAGUGACGGUAAUGGGUAAAGAAGCACCGGCUAACUACGUG
rnacentral:rRNA from 1 species